rnacentral:rRNA from 1 species
GACGAACGCUGGCGGCGUGCUUAACACAUGCAAGUCGAACGGAAAGGCCCUGCUUGCAGGGUACUCGAGUGGCGAACGGGUGAGUAACACGUGGGUGAUCUGCCCUGCACUUCGGGAUAAGCCUGGGAAACUGGGUCUAAUACCGGAUAGGAGCCAUUUUUAGUGUGAGGGGUGGAAAGUUUUUUCGGUGUGGGAUGAGCUCGCGGCCUAUCAGCUUGUUGGUGGGGUAAUGGCCUACCAAGGCGGCGACGGGUAGCCGGCCUGAGAGGGUGGACGGCCACAUUGGGACUGGGAUACGGCCCAGACCCCUACGGGAGGCAGCAGUGGGGAAUAUUGCACAAUGGGCGCAAGCCUGAUGCAGCGACGCCGCGUGGGGGAUGACGGCCUUCGGGUUGUAAACUCCUUUCGCUAGGGACGAAGCUUUUUGUGACGGUACCUAGAGAAGAAGCACCGGCUAACUACGUG